rnacentral:rRNA from 1 species
CACCUUUGUUGCUUUGGCGGGCCCGCCUCGGCCACCGGCUCCGGCUGGUGAGCGCCCGCCAGAGGACCCCAAACUCUGAAAUUUAGUGUCGUCUGAGUACUAUAUAAUAGUUAAAACUUUCAACAACGGAUCUCUUGGUUCUGGCAUCGAUGAAGAACGCAGCGAAAUGCGAUAAGUAAUGUGAAUUGCAGAAUUCAGUGAAUCAUCGAAUCUUUGAACGCACAUUGCGCCCCUUGGUAUUCCGGGGGGCAUGCCUGUUCGAGCGUCAUUACAACCCUCAAGCUCUGCUUGGUAUUGGGCGUCCCCGGCGACGGGGUGCCCUAAAAUCAGUGGCGGUGCCGUCUGGCUCUAAGCGUAGUAAAUCUCUCGCUCUGGAUGCCCGGUGGAUGCUCGCCAGAACCCCCCAUUUUUACAGGUUGACCUCGGAUCAGGUAGGGAUACCCGCUGAACU